rnacentral:rRNA from 1 species
UUUAUGACUCUCGGCAACGGAUAUCUUGGCUCUUGCAUCGAUGAAGAACGCAGCGAAAUGCGAUAAGUGGUGUGAAUUGCAGAAUCCCGUGAACCAUCGAGUCUUUGAACGCAAGUUGCGCUCGAGGCCAUCAGGCUAAGGGCACGCCUGCCUGGGCGUCGUGU